rnacentral:misc_RNA from 1 species
AAGUCGUAACAAGGUUUCCGUAGGUGAACCUGCGGAAGGAUCAUUGAAAUAUUUCUAAAUAUUUUAACACACCCUUUCCAAGACAGGUUAAAUGAUGUGGAUGUAUAGGGGGGAGUAUGAGUGGUUUGUGAGUGAGUGAGUGAGAGAUGUAUAGUCUCUUACUUGCUUGAUAUAUAUAUAAUGAGUGCGAGAUGCAUAGUAGUUAUAUAUAUAUAGAGAGGGGGUAGAAGGGGGUUAUAAUAAGGUAUUUAUUAUAAUUCUCGUCUCUUUCUUUCAUUCACUUUUAACUCAUCACAUAACUACCCCCCUUAUUAUCUCAUUAUAUUAUAAGCUCUAGUUUAAAGCGUGCUUUAACACUAUAUAUAAAUAAUACAACUUUUAACGGUGGAUCUCUUGGCUCCU